rnacentral:pre_miRNA from 1 species
UCAUAUAUAAGGAGGGAUGCACUUGCAUAGCGUAAAAACUAAAGUAAUUUUGCAUACUUUUGUAACUAGUUAUAUAAUUAAUAUUUUAAAAAUUUAUAUAAAUAUUUACGAAAGUGUGUAAAAUUACUUUAAUUUUUACACUGUGGAAGUGGAUCUCUCUCAUAUAUAUAC